rnacentral:rRNA from 1 species
UACGUAGGAUGCAAGCGUUGUCCGGAAUUAUUGGGCGUAAAGAGCGAGCAGGCGGUUUGGAAAGUUGGACGUGAAAUUUUAGGGCUUAACCCUAAAGGGUCGUCCAAAACUCCCAGACUAGAGUGCAGGAGAGGAAAGCGGAAUUCCCGGUGUAGUGGUGAAAUGCGUAGAUAUCGGGAGGAACACCAGAGGCGAAGGCGGCUUUCUGGCCUGUAACUGACGCUGAGGAGCGAAAGCAUGGGGAGCGAACAGG